UGGGGAAUAUUGGACAAUGGGCGAAAGCCUGAUCCAGCCAUGCCGCGUGUGUGAAGAAGGUCUUCGGAUUGUAAAGCACUUUAAGUUGGGAGGAAGGGCAGUAAGCGAAUACCUUGCUGUUUUGACGUUACCGACAGAAUAAGCACCGGCUAACUCUGUGCCAGCAGCCGCGGUAAUACAGAGGGUGCAAGCGUUAAUCGGAAUUACUGGGCGUAAAGCGCGCGUAGGUGGUUCGUUAAGUUGAAUGUGAAAGCCCCGGGCUCAACCUGGGAACUGCUUCCAAAACUGGCGAGCUAGAGUAGGGCAGAGGGUGGUGGAAUUUCCUGUGUAGCGGUGAAAUGCGUAGAUAUAGGAAGUAACACCAGUGGCGAAGGCGACCACCUGGUCUCAUACUGACACUAAGAUGCGAAAGCGUGGGGAGCAAACUGG
rnacentral:rRNA from 1 species